CAGACAUGUCACAUCAUGCCCGCAACUGACCAGGUGGAGCUGGACCUAAAUAUCUCUUCAACGGCACUUGUGUUUAUCUUCGUCAUAACAGCGAUUCUUGUGCUUGGCAUACUCAUUUGAUACAGUGGGUUUGACUUAUAGUCUAUCAUACCCAGGACUACAGUUCCCUUGAUGUCUAACCACAAAUUUUUCAAAGAGACAAACCGUUUCAUAUGCAGUGGACAUGUAAGUACUGCACAUUUUGUGCUGAAAAGUGGACCUCCAGC